rnacentral:lncRNA from 1 species
UGAGUGGUAUCGUGAAUUUGGAAAUGUGUUAGUAUUUUGAGUUCAAAACCUAUCAUUUCAGAUAUAUCUAUUUGUGUAGUUAGAUGAUAUAGAUAUCUAGUUCCCACAUUGCAAACAAUUAAGUCUUUCUAAUGCUGAUAGACAGACUCUCAGAAAAUUAGUUGGUUGAGGUUCGACUCGUCAGAUAUUCUUGAUUAUUAAACAACAAAAAAUCAUCUCCGCCACAAAAAUAAGAAAUUUGGAUAUAUAUCUGUUUUGCAUAUUUAUUUUUUGUUAAUUUUUUAUGAUAUUUGUUUUUGCGUUGUAAAGUGAAAUUUAUUCCGAUAUCAUUCCACGUUAGAGAUGUUAUAACUAGAAUGCAAACAAAUCAACACAAGUUAAUUAUAAUUUAUGUUA